GCCGAAGUGGUGGAAUUGGUAGACACGCUGUCUUGAGGGGGCAGUGUCCCAUUGGACGUGCCGGUUCGACUCCGGCCUUCGGCA
rnacentral:tRNA from 2 species